rnacentral:rRNA from 1 species
AGCAUAUCAAUAAGCGGAGGAAAAAGAAACCCAACAGGGGAUUGCCCUUAGUAACGGCGAAGUGAAGCGGCAACAGCUCGAAUUUGAAAUCUGGCUUCGGCCCGAGUUUGUAAUCUGUAGAGGAUGCUUUUGGCGCGGUGCCUUCCGAGUGCCCUGGAACGGGACGCCACAGAGGGUGAGAGCCCCGUAUGGUCGGACACCAAGCCUGUGUAAAGCUCCUUCGACGAGUCGGGUAGCUUGGGAAUGCUGCUCUAAGUGGGAGGUAAACUUCUUCUAAAGCUAAAUACUGGCCAGAGACCGAUAGCGCACAAGUAGAGUGAUCGAAAGAUGAAAAGCACUUUGAAAAGAGGGUCAAAUAGUACGUGAAAUUGUUGAAAGGGAAGCGCUCAUGACCAGACUUGCGCCGGGCUGAUCAUCCAGUGGUUUCCACUGGUGCACUCUGCCCGGCCCAGGCCAGCGUCGGCUGUCACGGGGGGACAAAAGCACUGGGAAAGUAGCUCUCUCCGGGGAGUGUUAUAGCCCUAUGCAGAAUACCCCCGCGGCGGCCGAGGUCCGCGCUCUGCAAGGACGCUGGCGUAAUGGUCAUCAGCGACCCGUCUUGAAACACGGACCAAGGAGUCGAGGUUUUGCGCGAGUGUUCGGGUGCAAAGCCCCAGCGCGUAAUUAAAGUGAACGUAGGUGAGAGCUUCGGCGCAUCAUCGACCGAUCCUGAUGUAUUCGGAUGGAUUUGAGUAGGAGCGUAAAGCCUCGGACCCGAAAGAUGGUGAACUAUGCCUGUAUAGGGUGAAGCCAGAGGAAACUCUGGUGGAGGCUCGCAGCGGUUCUGACGUGCAAAUCGAAUCGUCAAAUAUGGGCAUGGGGGCGAAAGACUAAUCGAACCAUCUAGUAGCUGGUUACCGCCGAA